CCCAAGACUACCAGCCUAGAGAUGU
rnacentral:misc_RNA from 1 species